GACAGAGGGGGCAAGCGUUGCUCGGAAUCACUGGGCGUAAAGGGCGCGUAGGCGGGAUGGCAAGUCGGUCGUGAAAUCCCUGGGCUCAACUCAGGGGGGUCGGCCGAUACUGCCGUUCUUGAGGGAUGCAGAGGAGACUGGAAUUCCCGGUGUAGCGGUGAAAUGCGCAGAUAUCAGGAGGAACACCGGUGGCGAAGGCGGGUCUCUGGGCCGAUACUGACGCUGAGGAGCGAAAGCGUGGGGAGCGAACAGG
rnacentral:rRNA from 1 species